rnacentral:sRNA from 1 species
CCCUCAGCCUUCAGCCCCUUCAGCCCCUCAGCCCUUAGCCCUCAGCCCCUCAGCCCUCAGCCCCUCAGCCCUCAGCCCCCUCAGACCCCUCAAUCCCCUCAGCCCUCACCCUUUAUCUCCUUCCUCUUUUCCAUCAGUUGGUGUUCUCUGUGCCCCCAGAGCUGUGCUCUCCUCCUUCUUAUGGGGCAACCUAAAUUCAGAGAGCACCCUGGCUUGGUUUGCCACUUUGUUGUGUGGGCAUGUUCACGUCUUCCACCAGGGCCUUUGGGUGGCAUAUGACAGUUUGGGAUUGUCCAGUCUCUGUACUUUCUGGGGCCUCUCCUGUUGAAUGGCUAGGCACCUGCAGGUGUAGGGGCUCAGGGUCACCUCUGGCCUGCAGGUCAAUGUCUUGCUGCUCCUAUCCUGGGGAGGGCAGCUGUCUCCUAGCCCAACCCAAAAGCCCCCAGAAGCCUCCACACAGCCAGCUCUGGAGUCUGUCCCUGGCUUAGGUGGCUUCAGGACUGGGCCAGGCACCUUCCUCAUAGAGCAAUCAGACAUGAAGGGUACCUUUCAAUCACACAAUCCUACACAGUCCUAGACAUUAGGUGGGUCCUCUGCCCUCUGCAGGUGACCUCAUCAGAGAGCCCGGCAGCAUCUGCCCAUUUCCUGUCUACAUUCUCCUCCCUAGUGCACUGGGAGUGGGAGGAGAGCCCAAAGCUCCUCCAGAUCUUUAGGAAGCCCCACUGUCAGGCUGAGUGGAGGGCCUUAGUGACAAGUGAUAACUUCAGGGAAGUCCAGAGUGGGAGACACAUCUGCGGUCCAGCUUGCUGGUGGGCACUCCCUGCUCAUGCCCACAGCCUCGAGGGGAAAAGGUCAUAAUUGACAGGUGGUUCCUGGGGUCCUGAGAUCCAGCCCAAGGGAUGGAACGACAUGCUAGGAAGGGGAAGGUGACAGAAGGUUCACAUGCAUCACACACCACUUUGACAAACCCAUACAUAGCAUUCACUAUAGUGAAUAGAAAAACUCACAAAGCACGGUAGUUCCAGCACUUUGCAAAUAUCCCCCACCCAAUACCUUUGAGGUGAGAGUUACCAUCAUUGCCUAGUUACUGGUAAGAAAACAGAGGUUCCAUGACAUACCUGAGGCACUGAGGGGGAUGAUGUCAGGACUUGUGGCCACAUGUGCAGGCACAUGCCCUCCGUGUCAUACCAAUGCACUCACUUUGCAGAUGGGGAGCGAUGCCUGAGCACUGGGAUGGCAUCGUUGGCUUGUGUUGGACAGUGCCUAUAUAAGAGUCCAGCUUCUACCCACUUGUUCCAGUCUAUCCACAUUUCCCACCAACAGAACGAGUUUACUAGAACCCUCCCCUCAAAUUGGUACGAGGACUACAUGACAUGGCGUGCGAUGACACGCACACAGAGGAGAUCCUUUUUCCAGGAUGCGGGAAGAGGAGAUCCCAUACAUGGGCUUGGGGGUGGCUUCCCUCACUGCAGUGUCCGAUCCCCCAGCAGCUCUGGGAGCAGGAGUGACUAUCUCCAUUUUGCAGAUGAGGAAACAGAACCAUAAAGGUGACCUUUUUUCUUUUUCUUUUUUACAUUUAAAGUUAAAUUGGUCUCCCCUCAAAAAAUGCUUAGACUUAAUUAGUUUAAUUAUCCUCACAUAUACUCCUCCGGCUUCUUUAUUGAAGUGUAAUUUACACACCAUAAAACUUACCAUUUGAAAACGUGCAAUUCGGUAAUCUUUAGUAUUAUUCGUAAGGUUGUGCAACCAACCAACACCAUUAUCUAAUUUUAGAACAUUUUCAUCACCCCAAAACGAAACCCAUACCCAUCAGCAGUCACUCUUCAUUACCUGGUAGUAAUUACCUACCCCUACCCUCAGCCCUUGGAAACCACUAAUGUACUUUCUGUUUCUUCAGUUAUGCCUAUUUUGGAUAUUUAGUAUAAAUGGGAUCAUACAAUA